rnacentral:rRNA from 1 species
AACGAACGCUGGCGGCGCGCCUAAUACAUGCAAGUCGAGCGAGAAGACGUAGCAAUACGUUUGUAAAGCGGCGAACGGGUGAGGAAUACAUGGGUAACCUACCCUCGAGUGGGGAAUAACUAGCCGAAAGGUUAGCUAAUACCGCGUACGCUCCUUGGACUUCGGUUCAGGGAGGAAAGCGAUACCGUGGGUAUCGCGCUCUUGGAUGGGCUCAUGUCCUAUCAGCUUGUUGGUGAGGAACGGCUCACCAAGGCUUCGACGGUAGCUGGUCUGAGAGGACGAUCAGCCACACUGGCACUGCGACACGGGCCAGACUCCUACGGGAGGCAGCAGUAAGGAAUAUUGCGCAAUGGGCGAAAGCCUGACGCAGCGACGCCGCGUGGGGGA